ACUGCCUUAGCUCAGUUGAUAGAGCAUCGGAGUACCAAUUUGGAGACCGUGGGUUCAAAUUCCGCCGGAAGUC
rnacentral:tRNA from 1 species